rnacentral:tRNA from 1 species
GGGAGAGCAUCUGCCUUACAAGCAGAGGGUCGGCGGUUCGAACCCGUCAUUCUCCACCA